AAAUUUGCCUAUCUUAUAGAACUGUACAUCCAUUUACAGUGUUUUAUAAAUAUGUAUGUUCAUAUUAAUUACACUUUGAACAAUUCAAUGAAAUUCGAAAAUUAAAUAGAUGUAUACACUUUAAAAUGCCAGCAUGUGAACCGUGAUGUCAUUUAUAUUGCAAUAUUAUAUAUAAUAAACAUCUUGAGAGAUUGUUAUGAAA